UGCGCAGGCGGGUUAUUAAGUCAGUGGUGAAAUCUCUCGGCUCAACCGAGAAACUGCCAUUGAUACUGAUAUUCUUGAGUAUAGUUGUAGUGGGCGGAAUAUAUCAUGUAGCGGUGAAAUGCUUAGAUAUGAUAUAGAACACCGAUCGCGAAGGCAGCUUACUAAACUAUUACUGACGCUCAUGCACGAAAGCGUGGGGAGCAAACAGGAUUAGAUACCCUGGUAGUCC
rnacentral:rRNA from 1 species